CAUUUCUGAGGAAUUCAGCAGCGUUCCCUGGGAUGGUGGUGCCUUGCUUUGGCUCUCCAGCUGCUCCCCAGUGGAUGGAAAUGCUCCUGUGUGAGGAUGAGAGGCAGCGCUCCCAGAACACUGAGGAACAACAGGGGGCUGCACACAGAAAGGAGAUUUCAUCAUCUUCCAUCUGCAGCCCUUUAAUAUCAAGAGACUUCCACAAAACUUGAAAUGAGUCUUUGAAAUGUUCCGUGCUGUGGAGGUAGAAAGCAUUUACAGGAUCUAAUGAGGAGUCAUUGUGCUCAGCACUGUGCACCUGCUGAACAAGGGAAUAAAGAGCUAAUGAAUGGAUGGACUGUGGAGAUCCAGAUUUAUGCAACAAGCAGCAAGGCUUUCUGUGCAAACUCUUUGUGGAGUUGUUGGUUCAGGAAUAAACAACCUUGCUUAGGAGCAGAACAGUUUUACUCAUCAAUUUAUUAAUAAAGAUUUUUAUGACAGCUGCUUGCCCAAAAAGCUGUUCAGUGACGGGUUUAAUUUGCCAUCUGGGACUGGAGUGCCCUGAAUUCUUUGGCUUUUAGCCACUUUCACUCCUGUUAAAAGGAGACACAUCCCUGGGCUUUCCAGGUGAUCCCAUGGUGAGUUUGACUUUAUCCUCUGAACCAAAGAGGAGUUUUAUUUUAGAGAGAAAUGAAGACAUGCAUGAUGUUAGAUCUGUGAAUUUAUGAUUUUGUAUCUAGCUCUCAGCAAAUCCAGUGCUGGUGAGGUUCUUGUCCAGAGGAGGUUUGGACAUCCAGCAUUCCUUGGUGGCCUUUGUCCUUUAUCCUGAGCUCAAAUUGAAGUGGGGAAGGCUCAGCCCAAGCUUGCUGUGCUGUUAUGGGUUUGAGAAAGUACUGAAACAUCCAGUUUUUGACAGCAUCUUGCCAGCUACUUGAAUUUGAAACAUGAGAAAAGUCUCUGGAGCAUACAGGAAGAGUGAUGACAGUCAGAAGGAAAUGGAUUGUGUAUUGUUGAAAAACAAGACCUAUCCAAACAUGCAAGAGAAAUGGAAGGAUGAGAUGGAUGAACAUUCCUGGCUGUGUUUCCUGCAGACCUUGCUCUCCCCUGCACCUUCGUGGCACAGACAAAUCUUCAGCUCACAGAAUGGGGACAAUUAGAAGGGAAGAAGUUUUUAUGGUUUGACUCAGAGACUUUCAUUGUGGUUUAUUGGAGAGUUAGAAGCAUCAGCCUCUCAGAAGUUAAUGACCUGCCUGAAAUAAUGGGGAUUUUAGAAGAUGGAAUGUUACUAAAUUAAUAAAUAUAAUAAAUAUUAACUAUUUCA
rnacentral:lncRNA from 1 species